rnacentral:lncRNA from 1 species
ACCCUGGCCGCCCUUGGCAGAGGAACAACGCAUAGUUGGUAAUUUUCAAGGAAUCUCAAUUUUCUUUGACUUCAGAUAGAGCUCACAGAGGACUGUGAUACCAUCAAGGACAGUGUGCAGUUCCCCCCAAUUUAACCUUCACGGAGGGAGAUGGUUCUGCUGCUCUUUAAAGGCACCGACUCUUGGGCUGGGUGUAUCAGUCCAUGUGGUUUACUUUGCUAGGCGAGAGUAUAUAUACUCACCCAUCCGCCAAAAUCGCUGUUUUGAUUUGAAAUUCCAAAAAUAACUCACAAGAAGCCGACGGUGUGAGCGGAAGAUGAUCACACACGGCUCCAGGGAGGAGAAGAGAAAGCAUUGGAUUUGAAUUACCUAAGAGCUGCAAUGGAGUGCAAACAUCUCCUUGUAGCAACUGCUAUAUAAUUAGCCAUCCUAAUAGAGUCCUUUCAAAACCAAGGCAGUUCCACAAGGAAGUUUAAUUGAAAAUAAAAUUUCCAGACCAACCAUUCUCUCAAAACCACAUUCAAUGAAGAUAGCACAGCAGUGACCAAAUCACCAGUUAAAAGGUAUUAUGUGUUUGGGGGGAGGGGGUGGGGGAGAGGGUGUGUGCUCCUUACAGGGGAAGCGUGGCAAGGUGCCAGGCUCCUUCCCCCCUGCCUCCCACCCCCCACCACUUUCUUGUGUCUUCCAGUCACUGGGCAAAAGGAUUCACUUCUCUUUGGUCAGUGUUAUUGCUGGGCUCCUCCCCUCUGUCAAGUGCUUCCCAGGAUCCUGAAAAGAAGAAGCCAGGAUUUAAAUCUCAGGAUACAGAGGAGAGAAGAGAGGAUGACCUAGUCCUCCAAACCCACUCAUCAAGAGCAGAAAAACCACGUUCAUCCAUGGGCUCACUGGGGACUGCAGUGACCGGAGGGGACCCUGACCACUUUGGACUUCCAUCUUUGUCACUUACUAGGUGUGAGACCUCCGCAGGACUUAACAUCUCUGAGUAGCAGUUUUUCCAUCUUAAAAAAAAAAAAGGAUUAUACUCGCUCACCUCACUGCAUGGGGAGCAAGAUGGACUGUGAUGCUGAACAUUCAAUGGCUGGUGGGUGAUGGAGCCAGAAUUGGCACGUGGGUGACCCAGUGCUCCACAGAGGGUGUCUGGUCCCCCCACAGUGGGAGGAGGGGUGGGAGGAGCACCAGGUGCCUCUUUGCUACUCAGAAUGGGUCGGCCGGAGUUCCCGUCGUGGCACAGUGGUUAACGAAUCCAACUAGAAACCAUGAGGUUGCGGGUUCGGUCCCUGCCCUUGCUCAGUGGGUUAAGGAUCCGGAGUUGCCGUGAGCUGUGGUGUAGGUCACAGAUGUGGCUCUGAUCUGGCGUUGCUGUGGCCGUGGCGUAGGCCAGCAGCUGAAGCUCUGAUUCGACUCCUAGCCUGGGCACUUCCAUAUGCUGCAGGUGCAGCCCUAAGAAGAAAAAAAAAGUCCAGCAUCCACUGAGAAUGUGUUUCCAUACAAAGUCUGCGCACACCUGAAGGACGAAGAGGGAGCACGCAGGCGUGGGAAGGAGAGCUGCAGUGUGGUAGAUGACAGCCUCAGGGCUCCGAAUACUCUUCACAAUUCUUCUUAACCUCCUUAGUAGCCCCUGGCCACCCUCGACUCUAUCGAUCCAGCCCUCAGGCGUCUAUGCAGACUGGGGCGUCCACUGCACACUUCUCUGCCCUCUGUCUGGCGAAUUCCCACACUUCUUUACAACUCAGCUUAAACACUGCCCCCCCCACCUCACCCCCCGGCAGGAGGCAUCCCCCUGCCUCCCAGAGCUGAUUCACUGCCUCUUCUUAUCUUUCCCAGACAACCAGUGAUGGCUCGAGCUGAGCCGCUUCAACACUAGUCUCUUCUUAGAAGCACAGCCUUUCAGGGAGUGGAGAGAAACACUGGGGCCGUGCCAGCCAAGGGAGGAAAGUCUGGCCUGGGAGAGGGGAGAGCUGGGGUGGACUGGACAGUGAAGGGGGUGAGGCCCCUGGGUGAUUUUUGCCUUGGCUUUCCCUUUCAAUUCCCUAGCCCGGCCCUGCCAAGCCAACCAAUUCUGUCAAAUCUUAUUUCUCAGGUGCCUGUGAUCCCAAGACACCGUGGUGCGGGAUUGCAACGCCACGGCCAUUCUUUGAGUGUUGGACCCAGGCAGGGAGGGAAGGCUUGGACGUGAGCAAUGUCAGAUAACAGUGGCAGAAUAGAGUGAAAGACAGCAGAACAGGACAGCAGAAAAGGGAUGGCCUGUGGGCACUGAAUGGUCUGGGUGCAGGGGGCAGGUGCCUGCAGGGGCUGCAAAGGGAAGUCCUCUGAGAACCGGCCCAAUGUCCAGGAGGAUGCAGGCUGGAUGGGGAAGGGGGACUGCAUGCGAACGGUCCACGAGGAGCCCCCGGAUUGGAGGCCAGAACAGAAGAAAACAUCAGGGAGUCUGGGAGGGUUAUCAGGGCCAGAAUUUUGAGGCCCUCGCAAGCCAGGCAGAGGGACAGUGCUGGGAAAACGGCGGUGAGAAAUGCAGAAAGCCGCGCAGCUGAUGAGAGGUGUUUAGGGGGAAAUGGGUCUGGGGGCGGCCCUUCGGGAGGCUGAGGCAAAGAACCCAGUUAGUAAACUCCUCCGAAAUCACAGCCGGGCAGGAGGCACAUGGUACUAGAGUCUCACGUCGUGUCCCCCCCCCCAACCCCCGUCAGCACGACUGACAUCAGCAGCUCACUGGCGCACACUUGCCCCUGACUCCAGGUGCAACUCCAGAGGGUUUUUUAGGCCACUCUGGGCUCCUGGCAGCCCCUACCGAUCCAUCCAGGGUGAUGGGUCAAAUCUCCCCGCCUUGCGGGUUCGAUCAGUCAGGCGAUGUUAUGGGGCACUGACACGCAUCCUCAAAUUCCAGUGGCUUAAAGCGGUGAAGGUUCAUCGCUCAUUCAGGCUACCUGUCCAUCACAGUUGACCAGAGAUGGCCGUCAGUGCCAGCACCGUCCAGACAGACUGACAGGGCAGCCCCUAUACAGGGCACUGCUGGGCACCAAGGCAGGGGAGAGGGAGGGAGAGAGAGAGAUACAUCUCUGGAAGGUCUCUCACUAGCGUUUCAUAUGAAAGCCUGAAAAGGCAUAUCCCUCUGUAUACCACUCAUUGGCCAGAACUGGUCACAGCAGGCAAGGCCGUGGAAUCUUAAUCUCCAAAAGGCAGAGAGUUAGAAAAAAAUAAAAGAAAGGCCUGGAGUUCACAUUGUGGUUCAGCAGGUUAAAAACGCGACGGGUAUCCAUGAGGAUGAGGGUUUGAUCCCUGGCCUUGCUCAGUCUGUUAAGGAUCAGGUGUGGCUGUGGUGUAGGCCACUGGCUACAGCCCUGAUUUGACCCCUAGCCUGGGAACGUCCAUAUGCCAUGGGUGUGGCCUUAAAAAAGAGAAAAAAAAAAAAAGAAAAAGAAAAAGAAAAAGAG